UACGUAGGGUGCGAGCGUUAAUCGUAAUUACUGGGCGUAAAGCGUGCGCAGGCGGCUUUGCAAGACAGAUGUGAAAUCCCCGGGCUCAACCUGGGAACUGCAUUUGUGACUGCAAGGCUAGAGUACGGCAGAGGGGGAUGGAAUUCCGCGUGUAGCAGUGAAAUGCGUAGAUAUGCGGAGGAACACCAAUGGCGAAGGCAAUCCCCUGGGCCUGUACUGACGCUCAUGCACGAAAGCGUGGGGAGCAAACAGG
rnacentral:rRNA from 1 species